AUAUCAAUAAGCGGAGGAAAAGAAACUAACAAGGAUUCCCCCAGUAACGGCGAGUGAAGCGGCAACAGCUCAAAUUUGAAAUCUGGCACUAGCCCGAGUUGUAAUUUGUAGAGGAUGCUUUUGGUGAGGCGCCGCCCGAGUUCCCUGGAACGGGACGCCAUAGAGGGUGAGAGCCCCGUCUGGCUGGCCGCCGAGCCUCUGUAAAGCUCCUUCGACGAGUCGAGUAGUUUGGGAAUGCUGCUCAAAAUGGGAGGUAUAUGUCUUCUAAAGCUAAAUACCGGCCAGAGACCGAUAGCGCACAAGUA
rnacentral:rRNA from 1 species